AGGGGGCUAGCGUUGUUCGGAAUUACUGGGCGUAAAGCGCACGUAGGCGGCUUUGCAAGUUAGAGGUGAAAGCCCAGGGCUCAACCCUGGAAUUGCCUUUAAGACUGCAUCGCUUGAACAUCGGAGAGGUAAGUGGAAUUCCGAGUGUAGAGGUGAAAUUCGUAGAUAUUCGGAAGAACACCAGUGGCGAAGGCGACUUACUGGACGAUUGUUGACGCUGAGGUGCGAAAGCGUGGGGAGCAAACAGG
rnacentral:rRNA from 1 species